rnacentral:rRNA from 1 species
ACUAAGCCAUGCGAGUCAUUGUAGCAAUACAAGGCAGACGGCUCAGUAACGCGUAGUCAAUCUACCCUAUGGACGGGAAUAACCUCGGGAAACUGAGAAUAAUGCCCGAUAGAACAUUAUGCCUGGAAUGGUUUAUGUUUCAAAUGAUUUAUCGCCAUAGGAUGGGACUGCGGCCUAUCAGUUUGUUGGUGAGGUAAUGGCCCACCAAGACUAUUACAGGUACGGGCUCUGAGAGGAGUAGCCCGGAGAUGGGUACUGAGACACGGACCCAGGCCCUAUGGGGCGCAGCAGGCGAGAAAACUUUGCAAUGUGCGAAAGCACGACAAGGUUAAUCCGAGUGGUUUCUGCUAAAGAAACCUUUUGUCAGUCCUAGAAACACUAACGAAUAAGGGGUGGGCAAGUUCUGGUGUCAGCCGCCGCGGUAAAACCAGCACCUCAAGUGGUCAGGAUGAUUAUUGGGCCUAAAGCAUCCGUAGCUCGUUUUGUAAGUUUUCGGUUAAAUCCAUGCGCUUAACGUAUGGGCUGCCGGGAAUACUGCAUAACUAGGAAGUGGGAGAGGUAGACGGUACUCGGUAGGAAGGGGUAAAAUCCUUUGAUCUAUUGAUGACCACCUGUGGCGAAGGCGGUCUACCAGAACACGUUCGACGGUGAGGGAUGAAAGCUGGGGGAGCAAACCGGAUUAGAUACCCGGGUAGUCCCAGCUGUAAACUAUGCAAACUCAGUGAUGCAUUGGCUUAUGGCCAAUGCAGUGCUGCAGGGAAGCCGUUAAGUUUGCCGCCUGGGAAGUACGUACGCAAGUAUGAAACUUAAAGGAAUUGGCGGGGGAGCACCACAAGGGGUGAAGCCUGCGGUUCAAUUGGAGUC